GAGCCACCCAGGUGCCCCAAGGAGCUCAAAAGUUUUAGCAACAACAGCUUCCCACAAUAGCCUCCCAGGAUGCGAAUAUUAGAUGCUUUGCUCUCACCUCUUCCGGGGGGUGUGUACAGAACCAAAAGAUCUGGGGUUGGUAUUUCCUAAAAGAUUCUCCCCCACUUAUUCUGGCCACUGACAGCAGACUCCUUGCUGGUUCUCAAUCAGGCCAAGUGCACUCCUGCCUCAGGGCUUUGCACCUGCUCUUGCCUCCCUCUGGAACACUCUAUCCCAGACACUUGUACCACUCACAUGCUUAGUCUAUUCUGAGGUCACCUUCCCCAACCACCCAAUAUAAAACAUCACCCCUCUUCCUCUCUUUCUCUGGUUUAUCUUGUUUUAUUUCCCUUAUAUCUCCUCUCACUACAUGCUGGCACAUGGUUUUUUAAUUGUCAGACCCACCUGCUCAUCUGUAAGCUCCAUGAGGGCAGAGAGCUCUGGCUGCUUUUUUCACAUCAGGACCUGGAAGAGCACUUGGCAUGGGCAUUGACAGACGAGUGCUAUCUGCAUCCAUAACCCGCUGUCCUUGUUUCGCUUUCCGGAAGAUGGAUUCCUGGCUUGGCUUCGAACUCUUUGACUUAGAGGGGAUGGAGGAGCAGAAACAGCAAAGGCUGUUGAGAAUUUAGUCUUCCCAAUGGCUUGGCAGGGUGAAGAGGCAAAAGGGUGGGAAGAGAAAAAAAGUCUGAGGAUAUCCCUGAAUGCCUACUCCAUGCCAAGGGCUCUGCGAGGCACCAGGCUUGCCAGCAUCUAUGUGCCAACGACAGCAAGAGGCCACAUUCCUAAAGAGACGUUGGAAAGAGCCCCCAGUUGGGAAUCAGAAGAUGUGACUUUGGAGGAGGUCUCUCUCAUGCCAGCCAGGCCAUCUUGACCAGCUGCUUCAUUUCCCUGACUCUCUGAACGCCCUGUUGAAAGGGGAGGAUGACCCUCACCCUGCCUUCCCGGGGAUUCUAACAAGGAUCAAACAAUGUACGUGCCUGCAGAGGGUUUUGACAACAGUGAAAUACUUCUGCUAAGAUGAGGCAACAGUGGGAGCAAAGGACACUGAAGCACUCCCCCACUCCUGAUGUGGACUGCAUGUUAAUAGUGCCGAGAGGGAGCGACAGAGAAGACUCCUGGAGAGGCCUGCUGGACCUCCAAGCAGGGCAGCCAGGAGUCACAGGACCUGGCUUGACCCCCAUGCUACCGCUCGCUAGCAGGGUGACCUGCAGCAGGCGACUUAGCAUCAGCAGGAAGUCAUAUACACGAAGUGUCACAACAGUGCCCGGUGUAUGAGGACCCCUAGAAAGUAAAGCCACUGGUUCCAGGGGCCAGUCAUGGUCGUAUUUCUGAGAGGAUCCAGCUCACAGAGCCUACCUUACUGGCCACUGAGGUAUAGGAGAGAUUUUCAAUUCAUCCAUUCCUCCGAUGGACCUGACCUUUCCUGGGCACCACACGCUCCUGGGCCGCCCAACAUUUCCUUGUAGGCAAGCUCCCCAAGGAAGCUGACUGGAACCAGCUGCUUGCCCGAUAAGCAGAGUUUCCUGGCAAGAGAGAGCAGAGAAAUGAUCACUUGUGUCUGAGAGCGGGUGCCUUAUCAGAAGGCCUGUGACAGCCACCUGCCUUGACACCUGCAUGAGGUUUGGGUGAGCCGUUCGUCUGCAGCCAGAGCCUUUCUCCUGCGGUACCAACGCUGCCACAUUGCAACACUCUGUCCUUCCUUUCCUGUGCUGCAUUCUGCUGAGUUUCCUCUUAUUUCUUUGAAUAAGUUCAGGCCCUUGAUUUCACUUGCUCCUCGUCUGGCCUAGGACAUCUGCUUCUGGCCUAGGACAUCCUCUGGCUUUUGAGAUAUGCCUCUCCACCCUUCUGUCAUCCUUUGUGUCCUUACUCUCCGGGUGAAUUGUGUAAAACUCGCCUCCUUGGGGUCCCAGUUCCCUGGAGACAUGUUGCAGUGUCCACGCCUCCCAAUCUACGUGACUGCUUAGCAGGCACAGGCUCCUAGAAGCAGGGUUGUAUUUAUAGAAGUCCCUGUUUAGAAACUGCCCAUCAUUUCUGCACUUUACAAAGGGGACUCUGAGAGCCUGACAGAGUUAAUUACUUCUUUUAGGAGGCAGGAAUCUGUGUCUGUUUCAUUCACUGGUAUAUCCCCAGUGCCAGGACAGUGCCCGGCAUACAGUAGGCACUCAAUCAUAGCUCCCAAACAAAUAAAAUCCCCUUCUCAAGAAAGCACGUUAUGUGAGAAUCCGUUCUUUGGGUGGCAGCAGAAGACAGCAUGCCUUGGUUUCCAACUGGAUAGAUCAUCUUUACCCACAUGGGGCUCAUGAGGCCCUCAUUGCAUCUUCCCACACAGCCCACUGAUCUCAGGACCUCCUGUGUGAAAGCUGUUCCCAUCCCACCAUUUCUCAGCUCAGCUCCUUAGACGACUCCCCACUGCUUUUGAAAUUAAGUAUAGAGCUCUCUCUUGGGCCGUCAAGGCCUCAGAUCUCCACCUGACUGAGGCCUUCAAACUCAAGCUCCAGUUGUUCCCCAGGAGUUGCUCUUGGUUGCAUUUCAAUGACAUUGCUGAAUGUUUUCCAGACUUUCCUCCAGACCUUUCCGUUUUCAUCCCUUUCUUCCCUCCUUUUGGGACAACCGCCCCAGAAAAAUGAUGUUCAAGGAGUCUUGAAAUCUGUGAUUCCUCUGUCAGCUGGAAUCACUUAGAGUUUUUAAGACCCAUCUUGCGCUUUCAAGACGCAUCUUGAACAUCACUUUGUUUAUAAAAUCUCUAACUGGAUGAGGUCCCUUCUGCCUCUUCUCCUCUAGCAUCUGCAUCAGCACCCCUCCUUUGUUUUUUCUCCACUUUUCCAUGUGUUUCCAUAACUCCCUCAUCUGCUCCCACCCGUGUAUGACUCAAAGUUCUUGGAGGACGAGGACUUGGUCUUACUUCUGUUUCCUUUCCAGUACUGUGUACGUGACGCUCUCUCAGGACGUACAUGAAUCAGAGAACUACCGGAUCAAGUAGCAAUUCUGUAAACUUCCUCUACACUCUAUAAUUCUUGUUUUUCAUUUCUUGCUGGGUGGCAUGGACCUUACAAACAGAAUGAUUUUUGUUGCUAUCCACAGAAUCCCAUUUCGGCAUUAUUUGCUUAAGUUGCUGAAAUAAAAAAGCCAGCACGUCUCCAAUCACUUUAACAUGUGACAAUUCUUGCUGUGUCUGAAUACCUGGAA